AGCUCCAAUAGCGUAUAUUAAAGUUGUUGCAGUUAAAAAGCUCGUAGUUGGAUUUUGGGAUAAGCUAGUUGGUCCGGCGCAAGCUGAGAACUGAUGGGCAUAUCCUUCCUCUCGAAAGCGGCAUGUGCGCUUAACUGAGUGUGUGUCGUGUUCGGGACUUUUACUGUGAAAAAAUUAGAGUGUUCAAAGCAGGCUAUCGCUUGAAUAUUUCAGCAUGGAAUAAUGGAAUAGGACGUUGGUUCUAUUUUGUUGGUUUCUAGGACCGAAGUAAUGAUUAAUAGGGAUAGUUGGGGGCAUUAGUAUUUAAUUGUCAGAGGUGAAAUUCUUGGAUUUAUGAAAGACUAACUUCUGCGAAAGCAUUUGCCAAGGAUGUUUUCA
rnacentral:rRNA from 1 species